rnacentral:rRNA from 1 species
CACCGCGGUUAUACGAGAGACCCAAGUUGACAAAAACCGGCGUAAAGAGUGGUUAAUAAAAUUUAAACUAAAGCCGAACAUCUUCAAAGCUGUUAUACGCACCCGAAGACAGGAAGACCCCCAACGAAAGUGGCUUUAACCACUAUGAAUCCACGAAAGCUAGGAGA